rnacentral:lncRNA from 1 species
CAACCUCACCAAGAUGGAAACAUUGUAGCUGAAUAAUUAUUUGUUUAAGAGGUGUCCUGUGCAUUGUAGGAUUUUUACCAACAGCCCUGAACUUUACCCACUAGAUUCCAGGAGCAACCCCCAACUCCUAGGUUGGGACAACCCAAAUUGUCUCUGGGUAUUACCAAAUUUCUCCUGUGGGGCAAAAUCCACCCCCUGCCCCCUACCAUUCAGUCAUCUCCAUUGCAGGGCCAGCCACAGCUCUUACAGGACAGCUGUAAGAACAAGAGUUCUGGGAGGCUUUCAAUUACAGCCAUCUCCAAGUGGAACUCUCCAGGCUAAGAGGAUGAUGACCACCAGCAGAUCACCUCACUGGCUCUCGGAAUGGCUGAGGCAUUUUACGCAUGACCCCCAGGAGGAGAGAAGCAGCACUAUCAGAACGUGA